rnacentral:rRNA from 1 species
UAUUUUAAAGAGAGUUUGAUCCUGGCUCAGGACGAACGCUGGCGGCGUGCCUAAUACAUGCAAGUCGAACGAACGGAGGAAGAGCUUGCUCUUCCAAAGUUAGUGGCGGACGGGUGAGUAACACGUGGGCAACCUGCCUGUAAGUUGGGGAUAACUCCGGGAAACCGGGGCUAAUACCGAAUGAUAAAGUGUGGCGCAUGCCACGCUUUUGAAGGAUGGUUUCGG